rnacentral:sRNA from 1 species
CUGGUUUUGUUUUUGUGUCUUUAGCACCGUUCAUUUAAGUAUUUUGGCCUCCUGGAAAGAAAACCAGCCUUCUAUACUUGCCAGAUUGAAAUGACACAGUGAUCUGCCCAUCAACUUUUUAUCAUUUCCCUUCACUUUAAUUGGGUCACAACACAAAUGACUUAGAAAAUGUGAGCGCACUAGAUUAUAAGAAGCCUUAGCAGACAGUGUCUGAGGAUUAAAGUUGCUUUUCUGCUAUGUUUCAGGUGGUUAAUGGAAUGAAGGGUUGCCUGUCCUGUAGCUAUAUCGAGAAGUUUACUGACUUUCUUCGGCUCUUUGUGAGUGUUCACCUAAGAAGAAUCGAGUCUUACUCCCAGUUCCCUGUGGUGGAGUUUUUGACACUUUUGUUCAAGUACACAUUUCAUCAGCCUACUCAUGAAGGUUACUUCUCUUGUUUGGAUAUCUGGACGCUCUUUUUGGACUAUCUGACAAGUAAAAUUAAAAGUCGUCUUGGAGACAAGGAAGCAGUUCUCAACAGGUA